GGAGAGAUGGCGGAGUGGCUGAACGUGGCGGUCUCGAAAACCGUUGUAGUCGAGAGACUACCGAGGGUUCGAAUCCCUCUCUCUCUGCCA
rnacentral:tRNA from 1 species